AGGCUAAUGGUUUAAGUAAAACAUCGAGACUCCGAAUCUUGAAGAUAAUGGUUCAAAUCCAUUUUAGUCUG
rnacentral:tRNA from 1 species